GCUUGCUUGGUGGAUCAGUGGCGAACGGGUGAGUAACACGUGAGCAACCUGCCCUGGACUCUGGGAUAAGCGCUGGAAACGGCGUCUAAUACUGGAUAUGAGACGUGAUCGCAUGGUCGUGUUUGGAAAGAUUUUUCGGUCUGGGAUGGGCUCGCGGCCUAUCAGCUUGUUGGUGAGGUAAUGGCUCACCAAGGCGUCGACGGGUAGCCGGCCUGAGAGGGUGACCGGCCACACUGGGACUGAGACACGGCCCAGACUCCUACGGGAGGCAGCAGUGGGGAAUAUUGCACAAUGGGCGGAAGCCUGAUGCAGCAACGCCGCGUGAGGGAUGACGGCCUUCGGGUUGUAAACCUCUUUUAGCAGGGAAGAAGCGAAAGUGACGGUACCUGCAGAAGAAGCGCCGGCUAACUACGUGCCA
rnacentral:rRNA from 1 species